rnacentral:rRNA from 1 species
AGAUUCAAGAUGAGAUUUCCCAACUUCGGUUAUAAGAUCCCUCGAAGAUGACGAGGUUAAUAGGUUCGAGGUGGAAGCGUGGUGACACGUGGAGCUGACGAAUACUAAUCGAUCGAAGACUUAAUCAA